CCUACGGGUGGCUGCAGUAAGGAAUAUUGGUCAAUGGAGGAAACUCUGAACCAGCCAUCCCGCGUGAAGGAUGAAGGGGCUCUGCCUUGUAAACUUCUUUUGUCUGGGGCGAAAAAGCUCGAUUUAUCGAGAACUGACGGUACCAGAAGAAUAAGCACCGGCUAACUCCGUGCCAGCAGCCGCGGUAAUACGGAGGGUGCCGGAGUUAUCCGGAAUCACGGGUGCGAAGGCGUGUUAGUAAGUCAGUGGUGAAAGGCGUGGGCUUAACCAUGGAAUUGCCAUGGAUACUGCAGAGCUUGAAUGAGGUUGAGGUUGGCGGAAUGUGACAUGUAGCGGUGAAAUGCUUAGAUAUGUCAUGGAACACCGAUUGCGAAGGCAGCUGACUGGACCUAUAUUGACGCUGAGGCACGAAAGCGUGGGGAGCGAACAGGAUUAGAUACCCGAGUAGUC
rnacentral:rRNA from 1 species